CCUACGGGUGGCAGCAGUGAGGAAUAUUGGUCAAUGGCCGCAAGCCUGAACCAGCCAAGCCGCGUGAAGGACGAAGGUGCCAAGCAUUGUAAACUUCUUUUGUCAAGGGACAAAGUCAGGCUCGAGUGCCUGACCGAGUGUACUUUAAGAAAAAGCAUCGGCUAACUCCGUGCCAGCAGCCGCGGUAUUACGGAGGAUGCGAGCGUUAUCCGGAUUUAUUGGGUUAAAAGGGUGCGUGGGGGGACUGUUAAGUCAGCGGUAAAAGACCGGGGCUCACCCCCGGCGAGCAGUUGAAACUGGCUGUCUUGAGAUGUGGAGAGGUAGGCGGAAUG
rnacentral:rRNA from 1 species